CCAAUACAAAACUGAUCACAAGAGCUUCCCUUCCACGAGCAGAGAAAAAAAAAACCAAUUAUCACAGCCACAGCCACAGCCAAGGAUGUCUAGAUGCAAAGGAAAGAGUUCGUGGCCGGAGCUGGUGGGCAAACUGGGAAAGGACGCAGAGAAAACCAUCGAGAGGGAGAAUGGUUUGGUUGAUGCGGUGAUUGUUGGCGAAGGCUCAAUUGUGACUCUUGACUUCAGGUGCGACAGGGUGUGGGUUUGGGUGAACAACAAAACUGGUAGGGUUACUAGGACUCCUACCAUUGGUUAAUGCUUACUCCUCAGCUUCAAACAAACAAUCAUGUAGCAAAUUUUUACAAAUGCCCUCGUCCUGUUCUCAUACGGCAUGAAUUUAUCAAUAAGUCGUUUGUAUUUC